rnacentral:rRNA from 1 species
GACGAACGCUGGCGGCGUGCUUAACACAUGCAAGUCGAACGGUGAAGCGCCUUCCUUUUUGGUGGGUGUGGAUGAGUGGCGAACGGGUGAGUAACACGUGAGUAACCUGCCCCCUUCUUCUGGAUAACCGCAUGAAAGUGUGGCUAAUACGGGAUAUUCUGGGUCUGUCGCAUGGUGGGUCUGGGAAAGAUAUUGUUUCGGUGGGGGAUGGGCUCGCGGCCUAUCAGCUUGUUGGUGGGGUGAUGGCCUACCAAGGCGGUGACGGGUAGCCGGCCUGAGAGGGUGGACGGUCCCACUGGGACUGAGCCACGGCCCAGACUCCUACGGGCGGCAGCGGUGGGGAAUAUUGCACAAUGGGCGCAAGCCUGAUGCAGCGACGCCGCGUGAGGGAUGGAGGCCUUCGGGUUGUGAACCUCUUUCGCCAGUGAAGCAGGCCUGCCUCGUUUGUGGGUGGGUUGACGGUAGCUGGAUAAGAAGCGCCGGCUAACUACGUG